rnacentral:rRNA from 1 species
UACGAAGGGGGCUAGCGUUGUUCGGAAUUACUGGGCGUAAAGCGCACGUAGGCGGAAUGUUAAGUCAGGGGUGAAAUCCCGGGGCUCAACCUCGGAACUGCCUUUGAUACUGCAAAUCUCGAGUCCGGAAGAGGUGAGUGGAAUUCCUAGUGUAGAGGUGAAAUUCGUAGAUAUUAGGAAGAACACCAGUGGCGAAGGCGGCUCACUGGUCCGGUACUGACGCUGAGGUGCGAAAGCGUGGGGAGCAAACAGG